rnacentral:rRNA from 1 species
UGGGGAAUAUUGCACAAUGGGCGCAAGCCUGAUGCAGCCAUGCCGCGUGUAUGAAGAAGGCCUUCGGGUUGUAAAGUACUUUCAGCGGGGAGGAAGGGAGUAAAGUUAAUACCUUUGCUCAUUGACGUUACCCGCAGAAGAAGCACCGGCUAACUCCGUGCCAGCAGCCGCGGUAAUACGGAGGGUGCAAGCGUUAAUCGGAAUUACUGGGCGUAAAGCGCACGCAGGCGGUUUGUUAAGUCAGAUGUGAAAUCCCCGGGCUCAACCUCGGAGCUGCAUCUGAUACUGGCAAGCUUGAGUCUCGUAGAGGGGGGUAGAAUUCCAGGUGUAGCGGUGAAAUGCGUAGAGAUCUGGAGGAAUACCGGUGGCGAAGGCGGCCCCCUGGACGAAGACUGACGCUCAGGUGCGAAAGCGUGGGGAGCAAACAGG